CCGGAGGGAGAUCUGGGUCACCUGGAGCCAAAAGACCGUAUGGCCCAGGCCGUGAGACUGCCCUACGCCCACCCUCUGGCCUGGGAGCAGGUCGAACAUGUUCUCCAUGUCGAUGAAGUUUGUCUGGAUCAUCCUGCAAAAACAGCGCUGGCUGGGGCUCCUCUGAGGAGCUGGGGAAAUAACCAUGCACCCCGGACAGCCCAAGUUGUACUCCUCUUGGCCCUGGCAAUUCUGUGAGGCUAGGCCACUGCUCUUAGCUGGCAUCAAACGAGCAUCCUCACCU